UCAAUAAUAGUUGCAAAAAUGGGUUGCAAGGCUUUUCUAAUUCUAGCUAUGUUAAUGGCCACCAUCUUUGUGGCAUCUACCGAUGAGGUAGCACCAAGAGACUUAGAUGAGAAAUUUGAACAAAAUGAUGGU